rnacentral:rRNA from 1 species
GGGUUGUGAGGUUAAGCGAAUAAGCGUACACGGUGGAUGCCUAGGCAAUCAGAGGCGAUGAAGGACGUGCUAAUCUGCGAAAAGCGUCGGUAAGGUGAUAUGAACCGUUAUACCCGACGAUAUCCGAAUGGGGAAACCCAGUAUCCAAUGGAUACUAUCAUUAACUGAAUCCAUAGGUUAAUGAGGCGAACCGGGAGAACUGAAACAUCUCAGUACCCCGAGGAAAAGAAAUCAACCGAGAUUCCCCUAGUAGCGGCGAGCGAACGGGGAGCAGCCCAGAGUCUUAAUCAAUAACAGUGUCAGGAGAACGGUCUGGAAAGUCCGGCAGUAAAGGGUGAUAGCCCCGUAUCUGAAGAUGCUGUUAUUGUGAACUCGACGAGUAGGGCGGGACACGUGUUAUCCUGUCUGAAUAUGGGGGGACCAUCCUCCAAGGCUAAAUACUCCUGAUUGACCGAUAGUGAACCAGUACCGUGAGGGAAAGGCGAAAAGAACCCCGGCGAGGGGAGUGAAAAAGAACCUGAAACCGUGUACGUACAAGCAGUAGGAGCCUCUUUAUGGGGUGACUGCGUACCUUUUGUAUAAUGGGUCAGCGACUUAUAUUCUGUAGCAAGGUUAACCGUAUAGGGGAGCCGUAGGGAAACCGAGUCUUAACUGGGCGAAUGAGUUGCAGGGUAUAGACCCGAAACCCGGUGAUCUAUCCAUGGGCAGGUUGAAGGUUGGGUAACACUAACUGGAGGACCGAACCGACUAAUGUUGAAAAAUUAGCGGAUGACUUGUGGAUGGGGGUGAAAGGCCAAUCAAACCGGGAGAUAGCUGGUUCUCCCCGAAAGCUAUUUAGGUAGCGCCUCGUGAACUCAUCUUCGGGGGUAGAGCACUGUUUCGACUAGGGGGUCAUCCCGACUUACCAACUCGAUGCAAACUGCGAAUACCGAAGAAUGUUAUCACGGGAGACACACGGCGGGUGCUAACGUCCGUCGUGAAGAGGGAAACAACCCAGACCGCCAGCUAAGGUCCCAAAGUCAUGGUUAAGUGGGAAACGAAGUGGGAAGGCUCAGACAGCCAGGAUGUUGGCUUAGAAGCAGCCAUCAUUUAAAGAAAGCGUAAUAGCUCACUGGUCGAGUCGGCCCGCGCGGAAGAUGUAACGGGGCUAAACCAUGCACCGAAGCUGCGGCAGCGACACAAAGUGUUGUUGGGUAGGGGAGCGUUCUGUAAGCCUGCGAAGGUGUACUGUGAGGUAUGCUGGAGGUAUCAGAAGUGCGAAUGCUGACAUAAGUAACGAUAAUGCGGGUGAAAAACCCGCACGCCGGAAGACCAAGGGUUCCUGUCCAACGUUAAUCGGGGCAGGGUGAGUCGACCCCUAAGGCGAGGCUGAAAAGCGUAGUCGAUGGGAAACGGGUUAAUAUUCCCGUACUGGUGGUAACUGCGAUGGGGGAACGGAGAAGGCUAGGUUGUCCGGGCGACGGUCGUCCCGGUUCAAGCAGGUAGGCAGAGUGAUUAGGCAAAUCCGGUCACUUAAUGCUGAGAUGUGAUGACGAACCACCAAGGUGGUGAAGCAAUUGAUGCCCCGCUUCCAGGAAAAGCCUCUAAGCUUCAGGUUACCAACAAUCGUACCCCAAACCGACACAGGUGGUCAGGUAGAGAAUACUCAGGCGCUUGAGAGAACUCGGGUGAAGGAACUAGGCAAAAUGGUGCCGUAACUUCGGGAGAAGGCACGCUGGCGGUAGGUAAAGUCCCUCGCGGACGGCGCUGAAGCCAGUCGAAGAUACCAGCUGGCUGCAACUGUUUAUUAAAAACACAGCACUGUGCAAACACGAAAGUGGACGUAUACGGUGUGACGCCUGCCCGGUGCUGGAAGGUUAAUUGAUGGGGUCAGCCGUAAGCGAAGCUCCUGAUCGAAGCCCCAGUAAACGGCGGCCGUAACUAUAACGGUCCUAAGGUAGCGAAAUUCCUUGUCGGGUAAGUUCCGACCUGCACGAAUGGCGUAAUGAUGGCCAGGCUGUCUCCACCCGAGACUCAGUGAAAUUGAACUCGCUGUGAAGAUGCAGUGUACCCGCGGCAAGACGGAAAGACCCCGUGAACCUUUACUAUAGCUUGACACUGAACAUUGAGCCUUGAUGUGUAGGAUAGGUGGGAGGCUUUGAAGUGUGGACGCCAGUCUGCAUGGAGCCAACCUUGAAAUACCACCCUUUAACGUUUGAUGUUCUAACCUAGGCCCAUAAACUGGGUCGGGGACCGUGUCUGGUGGGUAGUUUGACUGGGGCGGUCUCCUCCUAAAGAGUAACGGAGGAGCACGAAGGUUGGCUAAGCAUGGUCGGACAUCAUGCGGUUAGUGCAAAGGCAUAAGCCAGCUUGACUGCGAGAGUGACGGCUCGAGCAGGUACGAAAGUAGGUCUUAGUGAUCCGGUGGUUCUGAAUGGAAGGGCCAUCGCUCAACGGAUAAAAGGUACUCCGGGGAUAACAGGCUGAUACCGCCCAAGAGUUCAUAUCGACGGCGGUGUUUGGCACCUCGAUGUCGGCUCAUCACAUCCUGGGGCUGAAGUAGGUCCCAAGGGUAUGGCUGUUCGCCAUUUAAAGUGGUACGCGAGCUGGGUUUAGAACGUCGUGAGACAGUUCGGUCCCUAUCUGCCGUGGGCGUUGGAAGAUUGAGAGGGGUUGCUCCUAGUACGAGAGGACCGGAGUGAACGCACCACUGGUGUUCGGGUUGUCAUGCCAAUGGCAUUGCCCGGUAGCUAAGUGCGGAAGAGAUAACCGCUGAAAGCAUCUAAGCGGGAAACUUGCCUCGAGAUGAGUCUUCCCUGUCGCUUUAAGCGACCUAAAGGAACGUUUAAGACUAAGACGUUGAUAGGCUGGGUGUGUAAGCGUAGCGAUACGUUGAGCUAACCAGUACUAAUGAACCGUGAGGCUUAACCUGACAACACCGAAGGUGUUU